GAUGAAGAACGGAGCGAAAUGCGAUACUUGGUGUGAAUUGCAGAAUCCCGUGAACCAUCGAGUCUUUGAACGCAAGUUGCGCCUCAAGCCAUUAGGUUGAGGGCACGUCUGCCUGGGCGUCACAUAUCGUUGCCUGAUGCCAGUUUCCUCGUGAUGGGUGACUGUGCAGGGCGAAUGAUGGCUUCCCGUGAGCAUUGUUGCCUCAUGGUUGGUUGAAAAUUGAGUCCUUGGUAGGGAGCGCCGUGAUAGAUGGUGGUUGAGUGACGAACGAGACCCAAUCAUGUGAGACCCCUACCGAAUUUGGCCUUCAUGACCCACAUGCGUCUUUGGAACGCUCAUGACGAGACCUCAGGUCAGGGGGGGCUACCCGCUGAGUUUAAGCAUAUCAAUAAGCGGAGGA
rnacentral:misc_RNA from 1 species